AGCAAACAUGAGCUUGGACACGAACAAUUUGGUUCAUUUAUCCGCUGUAGGUAGAACUCAUGGCUAGGCUGAAGACAAUAACAAAAGAACUGGCUCUGAUGUAGUAGCUGAUCAGGGGUCGAACUGUAAAAAAGAACUAACGAGGGGCUGAAUCUGCGAUUUAUCGAUGUGAUUACGGGGAAAGGAAUAUGCACCUGAAACCCUAAUGCACAUAGGCAAUUGAACCAACGGUGAGCGCGGCAGGUAACGACGGCAACGGAAGAACAGACCGCCGCCGGCGCGACGGUAAGAAGAUGGCGGUGCUGGGGGCGGCAGGUGGCGGUGCGUUGAAACUCCUGCGGUGUUUUUUCCCCCGACGAAGUCCCUUGGAGAAGAGGGAGGAAAGUAUGGAGAAUUUUGUGGUCAUGGAUUCGAAAAAGGAACCACAACGCUAGAGUGGGACAGAAAUGGCAUUUUCUUAGAUGGGGCCUCAGGAUUUAAAAAGCAUUUCAUGAAUAACAAGGAAGCUACGUAUGUGGAUCAACCAUGGGAGAACAUGUAUGCCAUGUAGUCCACAUGAUAAGGAUAACCUUGCAUGUCAGAUUAUUGUUUCUAAGCACACCAUAUACGUAGCUUCAUGGUCAUGUCGGGAAAUGCAAAAGUGUGGCUCCUGAAAGCAGCUCUGCUACUGCAACUGAUGUGAAGAUGAGACUUGAUAGAGAAACCGAAACAGAAAAUAUAAGCAGCUAUAUGACCACUUCUGUUUUACUGUUCCUGACAAUUAGUAGCAUAGUCUAAAAUGGGGACCCGUGUUUAUAGACAAAGAUACUUGUUACAAAAUGGAGGUUGUGAAUGUUCAAUCUAGACAGAUUGUGAAUGGAUGGACUCUCUUCAAUAGUGCGGAUUUCUUGGUUCCAACAUGCAUAUGUUGUUAUUGGAGGAAUCUAACGGCGAUUAGAAGCAAAUCCUAAAGGCAGCAGGGAAAUAGUGGUCCACAAGUCUCACUCGUUUUUUACAAUCUAAGUAAUUCUCUGACUCUAAAUUUUAUUUUUAUUUUCCUUUCUCGGUACUCUACAUUUGUUGAUUAUUUGAAAACUUCCUCAUGUUUGUCAUUUCUUUCCUAUGUUUGUGCCACAAUUCAUCCUUCAAAUGGUAUUAUACUAUUGAGAUGCUUCUGCUUCUAAUUCGAUUCACCACGAUGGAAAGAUGAUAUCACUCCUUGCAUAUAACCAAAAUGUCUCGCAUUAAGCCUGAAAAUGCCAGCAUUUGGUAUUCAUCGAUUGAUAAUUGUCGUGCCCUUUAUCGUUUGCUGCUGGUGCUGAGCAAAGCAACAAUUCUGAAACGUAACUCAGAGAACUCAUGGUAGUGACAACCCUGUUUCAGCUUCUGCAACUGAUGCCCAAAGAACGAAGCUAGGCAAGUAAUGAAACAAACUUGAGUCAUCUCGAGAAUCAAGGAGGCUUGCUGGGUUGCUCAAAGGCGUCAGCCAAUCUUUUUUUUACAACUCGGUAUCCGGCCCAAUAUCUUCGGUGAUCAACAGAUCUGAAAAGUGAAGUCGGAGAGCCUCAAAAGCUUCCUGGACUGCUAAUCCAGGGAAACCAAUUACAUCAUCCCAUAGCAGGGUGGCCUCCGUUAAUCCUGGCCAACAAGAUUGUUCCGAUAGGAAUUGGAAGUCCGACAACCAUUUGUAUGAAUUCCUCCUAUGUAUGUUGCUUUAUUUGCAUCUUUUGAGUUUUGACACUCUGUGACCUGCAUUUGGUAUCCAUUGUUGUUACCCUAGAUAAUUUUUGAAGUUAUAUGGGAGGUCUCCUUUCGGCCACACCGGCAA